AGCUCUGCGAACGUGCACUAAUAUUGUUGCGGUUAAAAAGCUCAUAGUUGGAAUUGGUCGACGUGGAUACUGGGUGACUGGUAUUUGCGUUUUACUUGACGUGGUAUAUAACUUUAUUGAUAUAUAACUAUGUCAAGCGGCCAUUAAAAAAUGCUUCACUUUUAACGAAGAAAAGCGUUUUCUUUAUACUUUGAACAAAUCAGAGUGCUCAAUGCAGACUCGUGUCUGAAUGAUUUUGCAUGGAAUAUAUGAACAUGAGCCUAUCGCAAGCUAUUCCUGGCGGCGAUUAUGGCUAAUGAUUAAUGAAGUCUGACGGUGGCGUGCGUACUGCAGCGCGAGAGGUGAAAUUCUUGGACCGUUGCAUGACGAACAACUGCGAAAGCACUCGCCAAGAAUGACUUUG
rnacentral:rRNA from 1 species